rnacentral:rRNA from 1 species
GACGAACGCUGGCGGCGUGCUUAACACAUGCAAGUCGAACGGAAAGGCCCUGCUUUUGUGGGGCGCUCGAGUGGCGAACGGGUGAGUAACACGUGAGUAACCUGCCCUUGACUUUGGGAUAACUUCAGGAAACUGGGGCUAAUACCGGAUAGGAGCUCCUGCUGCAUGGUGGGGGUUGGAAAGUUUCGGCGGUUGGGGAUGGACUCGCGGCUUAUCAGCUUGUUGGUGGGGUAGUGGCUUACCAAGGCUUUGACGGGUAGCCGGCCUGAGAGGGUGACCGGCCACAUUGGGACUGAGAUACGGCCCAGACUCCUACGGGAGGCAGCAGUGGGGAAUAUUGCACAAUGGGCGGAAGCCUGAUGCAGCAACGCCGCGUGCGGGAUGACGGCCUUCGGGUUGUAAACCGCUUUCACCUGUGACGAAGCGUGAGUGACGGUAAUGGGUAAAGAAGCACCGGCUAACUACGUG